AUUGAACGCUGGCGGCAGGCCUAACACAUGCAAGUCGAACGAGCGGCGGACGGGUGAGUAAUGUCUGGGAAACUGCCCCAUGGAGGGGGAUAACCACUGGAAACGGUAGCUAAUACCGCAUACCAUCGGAUGUGCCCAGAUGGGAUUAGCUAGUAGGUGGGGUAACGGCUCACUUAGGCGACGAUCCCUAGCUGGUCUGAGAGGAUGACCGGCCAAACUGGAACUGAGACACGGUCCCGACUCCUACGAGAGGCAAGAGUGGGUAAUAUUGCAAAAAAGGCGCAAGCCUUAUGCAUCCAUGCCGCGUGUAUGGAGAAGGCCUUAAGGUUGUAAAAGACUUUCAGCGAGAGGGAGGUACUCGCAGAAGAAGCACCGACUAACUCCGUGCCAGCAGCCGCAGUAGUAC
rnacentral:rRNA from 1 species